UACGUAGGUGGCAAGCGUUGUCCGGAUUUACUGGGCGUAAAGAGCGCGCAGGCGGUCGAUCAAGUCGAGUGUGAAAGCCCCCGGCUCAACUGGGGAGGGUCAUUCGAUACUGAUCGACUCGAAGGCAGGAGAGGGUAGUGGAAUUCCCGGUGUAGUGGUGAAAUUCGUAGAUAUCGGGCAGGAACACCGGUGGCGAAGGCGGCGACCUGGGUCGACACUGACGCUGAGGCGCGAAAGCGUGGGGAGCAAACAGGG
rnacentral:rRNA from 1 species